rnacentral:rRNA from 1 species
AGUGGCGAAAGGGAGAGUAACGCGUGGUUACAUGCCCUCGAGACCGGGAUAGUGUCGGGAAACUGGCAGUAAUACCGGAUAACAUCUUCGGAUCAAAUGGUGUGAUUCCGCUCGAGGAUUGGACCGCGUACUAUUAGCUUGUUGGUGAGGUAAUGGCUCACCAAGGCUGCGAUGGUUACCGGGUGUGAGAGCAUGGCCCGGCUCACUGGGACUGAGACACUGCCCAGACAUCUACGGAUGGCUGCAGUCGAGAAUCUUCGGCAAUGGACGAAAGUCUGACCGAGCGACGCCGCGUGCGGGAUGAGGACCCUCGGGUUGUAAACCGCUGUCAGUUGUUAGGAAAUCUAUGAGGGUUCUCUCUCAUGGUUGACCGAUCUUCAGAGGAAGGACGGGCUAAGUUCGUGCCAGCAGCCGCGGUAAGACGAACCGUCCGAACGU